ACUUGUGGAGGAGCUCUGUGGAAUACCCUUGCCUAGCUGGGAGUAAACACAGCUAGGGCAGCACUGUUGUGUGUGUGGUAAGGCAACGUUCCAUGAGCUGCAGAAGAUGGGAUGGGUGUGUGCAUUUUGUGGUAAGCUGAUCUUCCGGAACCAUCCCUAAUCCGCAUCAAGGCCCUUAUUAAAAAUUGAGAACGUGGUGCUUUGCUGUGUUUUUCAUUGUGAUUUAGGUCAUGAAUUUUGUGUUCAGGAGUGAAAACGUCAGGCAUUGCUGUCAGGAAUUGUAGGUCUUCUGGCGCUUGAUAGCAACAGCACCAUCACCUGAUUUUAUGUUGGAGUGAAAACGUCAGGCAUUGCUGUCAGGAAUUGUAGGUCUUCUGGCGCUUGAUAGCAACAGCACCAUCACCUGAUUUUAUGUUGGAGUGAAAACGUCAGGCAUUGCUGUCAGGAAUUGUAGGUCUUCUGGCGCUUGAUAGCAACAGCACCAUCACCUGAUUUUAUGUUGGAGUGAAAACGUCAGGCACUGCUGUCAGGAAUUGUAGGUCUUCUGGCGCUUGAUAGCAACAGCACCAUCACCUGAUUUUAUGUUGGAGUGAAAAUGUCAAGCAUUGCUGUCAGGAAUUGUAGGUCUAAUGGCCCUUGAUAGCAACAGCACCAUCACCUGAUUUUAUGUUGGAGUGAAAACGUCAGGCAUUGCUGUCAGGAAUUGUAGGUCUUCUGGCGCUUGAUAGCAACAGCACCAUCACCUGAUUUUAUGUUGGAGUGAAAACGUCAGGCAUUGCUGUCAGGAAUUGUAGGUCUUCUGGCGCUUGAUAGCAACAGCACCAUCACCUGAUUUUAUGUUGGAGUGAAAACGUCAGGCAUUGCUGUCAGGAAUUGUAGGUCUUCUGGCACUUCGUAGCAACAGCACCAUCACCUGAUUUUAUGUUGGAGUGAAAACGUCAGGCAUUGCUGUCAGGAAUUGUAGGUCUUCUGGCGCUUGAUAGCAACAGCACCAUCACCUGAUUUUAUGUUGGAGUGAAAACGUCAGGCAUUGCUGUCAGGAAUUGUAGGUCUUCUGGCGCUUGAUAGCAACAGCACCAUCACCUGAUUUUAUGUUGGAGUGAAAACGUCAGGCAUUGCUGUCAGGAAUUGUAGGUCUUCUGGCGCUUGAUAGCAACAGCACCAUCACCUGAUUUUAUGUUGGAGUGAAAAUGUCAGGCACUGCUGUCAGGAAUUGUAGGUCUUCUGGCGCUUGAUAGCAACAGCACCAUCACCUGAUUUUAUGUUGGAGUGAAAACGUCAGGCAUUGCUGUCAGGAAUUGUAGGUCUUCUGGCGCUUGAUAGCAACAGCACCAUCACCUGAUUUUAUGUUGGAGUGAAAAUGUCAGGCACUGCUGUCAGGAAUUGUAGGUCUUCUGGCGCUUGAUAGCAACAGCACCAUCACCUGAUUUUAUGUUGGAGUGAAAAUGUCAGGCAUUGCUGUCAGGAAUUGUAGGUCUUCUGGCGCUUGAUAGCAACAGCACCAUCACCUGAUUUUAUGUUGGAGUGAAAAUGUCAGGCAUUGCUGUCAGGAAUUGUAGGUCUUCUGGCAUUUGCAGCAACAUAAGUCUGACAGGCUACUAUUUUAGCAUACCACUUUAAUCUGCUGGAUUCCAUCAUACCUGUAUCAUUCUUGUCCUCCUCUUGAGCCAUGAACCUGGGACACCCUUAAAAAUUGCCCUAUCAAACCUGAACGCCCAAGUCUGAACUGAAGUGAUUUCCACAAUAUGGCUCAGGAGUCUGUGAGAGAGGACUACCUCCAUUGGAAGGCCGGCACCCAGAUAUGUAUUUCUCCUUUUCUCUCUCCA